rnacentral:rRNA from 1 species
GACGUAGGGCGCGAGCGUUGUCCGGAUUUAUUGGGCGUAAAGAGCUCGUAGGCGGCUUGUCGCGUCGACUGUGAAAUCCCGCGGCUCAACUGCGGGUCUGCAGUCGAUACGGGCAGGCUAGAGUUCGGUAGGGGAGACUGGAAUUCCUGGUGUAGCGGUGAAAUGCGCAGAUAUCAGGAGGAACACCGAUGGCGAAGGCAGGUCUCUGGGCAACAACUGACGCUGAGGAGCGAAAGCGUGGGGAGCGAACAGG